UCUAAGUAUAACCUGCCAGACAGGGAAACUGCGUACGGCUCAUUACACCAGCCUUAAUUUACUUGACCUUGACAACCUACUUGGAUACCUGUGGUAAUUCUAGAGCUAAUACAUGCACCAAAGCUCCGAUCCUCGCGGAGAGGAGCGCAUUUGUUCGCCACAAAACCAAGCGCCCAUCUGGGCGUCCAGUGCUGAACCAGAACAACUCAGCUGAUCGCACGGUCUUGUACCGGCGACGUGUCUUUCAAGUGUCUGCCUUAUCAACUUUCGAUGGUAGUGUACCUGACUACCAUGGUUGUGACGGGUAACGGAGGAUAAGGGUUCGACUCCGGAGAAGGGGCCUGAGAAAUGGCCACUACGUCUAAGGAUGGCAGCAGGCGCGCAAAUUACCCACUCUCAACGCGAGGAGGUAGUGACGAGAAAUAACGAGACCGUUCUCAUACGAGGCCGGUUAUUGGAAUGGGUACAAUUUAAA
rnacentral:rRNA from 1 species